rnacentral:rRNA from 1 species
GAUGAACGCUAGCGGUGCGCCUAACACAUGCAAGUCGAGCGUGAUUACAUUGUAGCUUGCUAUGAUGUAUGAAAGCGGCGAACGGGUGAGUAACACGUUGGUAUCUGCCUUUUGGUCAGGGAUAGCCAGUAGAAAUGCUGAAUAAUACCGGAUAGUCUCGAGAGAGUAAAGCUUUAUCGCUAGAAGAGGAACUUGCGGCCUAUCAGCUAGUUGGUGAGGUAAUAGCUCACCAAGGCAAUGACGGAAAGUUGAUCUGAGAGGAUGACCAGCCACACAGGAACAGAGACACGGCCCAGACUCCUAGGGUAGGCAGCGGUGGGGAAUAUUGCACAAUGGGCGCAAGCGUGAUGCAGCCAUGCCGCGUGUAUGAAGGAGGCCUUCGGGUUGUAAAGUACUUUCAGCGGGGAGGAAGGUGUUGAGGUUAAUAACCUCAGCAGUUGACGUUACCCGCAGAAGAAGCACCGGCUAACUCCGUGCCAGCAGCCGCAGUAA